UACAGAGGUCUCAAGCGUUGUUCGGAUUCAUUGGGCGUAAAGGGCGCGUAGGCGGCGCGGGCAGUCAACGGUGAAAGCUUGGGGCUCAACCCCGAGUCGGCCGUCGAUACUCCCGGGCUGGAGCACUGUAGAGGCAGGUGGAAUUCCGGGUGUAGCGGUGGAAUGCGUAGAGAUCCGGAAGAACACCGGUGGCGAAGGCGGCCCGCUGGGCAGGAAGGCUCGCAAGAGCCGGCUGACACUGAGGCGCGACAGCGUGGGGAGCAAACAGG
rnacentral:rRNA from 1 species